GAUAAUGUUUAUUCAGCCAGUUAAAUAGCAAGCUCUGCAAUGCCAGCUUCGUAGGAUAGGAUAGUUUGAAAUGAAUAUCCAGAUCUGCAGAAAUGCCGGUUAUUCCACAGAAACUUUCUGCCAUCAAAAGUGUUCAAUAUGCAACUUAUCCAACGUAUUCAAUGCGACAAAGAUUGAGCCUUUUCGCGUCAAGAUGACAGCCCAAGUAAGCACACGCACAAAAACAUACACACCGUAAGACACAUGGUGUGGUUGAUAAGAGAGGGAAGCCUUGAAUUAUGCAGGCCUCAGUAGUCUUGUUUAACUAAAGUAAAAGUUAAUUCAGUUAGGCAAUAGUGGGCUGCAGCAUUGGAGUCUCUUGGCACGUGUUACAUUAGACCUCAUCCCAAAAGUGUUAGCAAUUAGAAGAAAAGUCCAUUUAAAGCCCCUUUUAUGAUGAUAUAUUCUCUUAGUUUGGCCAGAUCCUAAGGUCAUAAAUAUGCAACGCCUAAGAGUGUCGUUACCCACUACUAACGCUGUAUAUAAAGUGGUUGUGGGAAUUAUUUGGUUCCAAACUACCUGCACUUCCUGUACUGUAUCCAGGUUGUUGGAUGUGGGUACUGUGCAUUUGUCCUCGUGCUUUAUAUUGUUUGUGUGUGUAUUUCCCCACACAAACGUUGCCUGACACAGUCACUGCACGGGAACAGAGAGAUAUUUGUCAACCAUCCAGAACCUUUACCUGGGGUCGAGUCGGAUACACCCACACACACACACACACACACACAGAGUGAGAACAUUUCCUUUUAAGGCCUGACUUGUUCUUGGAGAAUUAACGUGACUGUGCCAGUGCUGCAACAGCUAUUGCUUGCACUCACCUGACGUGUCUGCGUCAUUGCUUGUUCUUCUUUGGAAGUAUGGCGUGUAGAGGUGCGGCGCCUGUUACGCCUGUUAUUUGAGGAGUGGGCCGUCGCCAUUUUUGGGGGAGCGGCUAUCCCGGAUCUAAUGAGAGAUGAAUCAACCAAAAAGAGAGCUGAUAUUGGCGCUGUAUCAGGCGGGAGAGCUCUGUUUCCCGUGGCAACCAUCUCUGGUGUGAUCAGAGCAAUAGCUAACCGGUUACUUACAUCCAACCAUAGGCUUGUCAAUGGGCUUUUCCAUGCCUUUCUUUAGACGUUGUUUGAAGCUAGUGGUUAUAUUUGGUAAAUUUAGAGCCCGAAUAAACAAAAGGUUUUCCUACAAUAAUCCAAAAUAAAUAAACUACACUAGUAAAUGAAGUAGUUUUGCAAUGGUAGUCUUUAAUUCUAAAACACUGUGCAUAAUUUUUAAAGUCCACUUUUUCAUUCAUUCAGUCAAUUUAUUCAUGGGUGUUUAACAGUAAAUUGCUGUUAUUGCCGGUUGAUGAUAAAUCCGCCCGAGCUCAUGUUGAUUACCAUAAAGAUUUAACUAAAACGUACCUGCUCUGAACCAUUAUUAAGUUGAGGAGAUGAGAUGACAUUUGCUAUUUACACUUUGAUAUCAUCCAAUUUAUACCACGUUGUCACAUGUGAGGUGCUAAUGUUGUAAAAUGUGAAAUGCAGUGCAUUGAUCGAGUUUCCCACAAAGCACCAACGACUGCUUUGAUAUUCAAGUGUUCAGCGUCGUACACUCACUGACAGAUUGAGCCGGCGGUUUUGAUUUACUGAGGGACAGUUUAAGGUGUGCGGUGUGACAUGUGUAAUGAUCAGAGUCAGAGUUCAUCUACUACAUGCUAAUUUUAAGAUAUCAAUGUCUCAUACAGCAACAAGGGUGCAUGGCAAGAAACAACAACACAUUUCAAGAAAAUUGAUCUUUAUUUUCAAGUUAUAAUAAACUUUUUGGCCAUCACAAGAAACAACUAGGUUUGUUUGACAGUAAUACUAUUGUGUCACUGAGAUUUGCAGAGAAGAAACAAAUGUUCUUUUUAACAGGAAACAAUAAGUGAGCCCUGCCCUCUCACUUCCUGGAACAGGCUAAAUUAUUGAUAGCAUUUCAGCGUCUGCCAGCCACUGUACACCCACUGAGAUGCGCGAUGGUCACAAUCACAGUAACAGUGAAAAAUAUAUUAUUAUAAUUACAAGGACAUUUUAUUCAUUCAUCCAUCACCAAUAACACAGAGCUGAGGAUUAAUAUAUUAUCUGGUGAAAAACAAAAUAAUUGAAAAGAGAAGGUAAUUAAAAUGAGUUCAACCUUCACAAAACAAAAGCAAUUAUGUAUUUUUGUGAAUGUAAUGAAAAGAAAAUGUUUGCACCAGCAUUUAAUUAUUUCAGUGUGUUUGCAAUAUUCCUGCUAAAACGAUUAGUAGCACCAUGCUGUCAAGUGCAUGGAUGAGUUUAUGUGGCUGUGUGUGCAACAUGCUUUUGUUGGGGGUUUGCAAUGACACAGGAAGGAGUUAUUUCAACUGCAUUGCCCGAGCCUCUUGGCAGAGAUGACUUCCUGUCCUGAGGGGUGGCUGAUAGCGGGACACCUGCCAGGAGUUGGCAGGCGUAGAAACCGGCAUCCACGUUCUGUCACCACUCUGCGAGGUGCUCACUCAGGAGGGAAGUGGUUUGGGGCUGUGACAUACUUUAAAAGGGAGGACGCAGGACGUGACCAAGAGGCAAAAUGAAAUGAAAGAGGUGGAUGAGAUGAACCUUUUCCACCACCGAGCUGCUAUCUUUGUAAGCAGCCUACUUAUCCUUCUGUUUAAUGAAAUCUUAAAGUCUUUACGGUCGAUUCGCUGCGAGUGUAGAGAGGGAUAACGAGGCAUGAAGUAUAAGUCAUUCUGCUAUGUAAGUCAUUUCCAAAGGCCUUUCACCUUUCAGUGCAGGUUACUGUUCUGUAUCUGUGUGCUCGCAUGUGUUUGACAGCACAAGGACAUUCCUGAAUGCUACCCCGACCCUGCCAGGACAUUUCAAGCUCUGCCUAAAUAGACAGUCUCCAGCAUCUAAAGCCUUAUUAACUCCUACCAGGGAGCGGAUUAAGGCCCAGGAUCCAGACAGCUAACAACUCUGUAUGUGUGUAGUACAAGCUGCUCAUCCAUUCACAAUGCUUUAUGACUGGUUAAACUCACAGCCUCCUCCCAUUGCCCCCCGAGGAGGUACAUUUGCAAAACAAGUGCUUAGAUGAAGGGGACAGAAGUGGAAGGAGAGAGGGUAAUUGGGGAUGUAUUUCAAAGCAGAUGGAGAAGGAGGAGGGGAGUCUGAGUGGUGGGGUGUUUUGAAAGCGUUUGUGGGUCUUGCUUACGCAGAAUCAGUAACGUAAAGUAACACAUUCCCACGAAGAAAUGAACAAAUUCUACUUUUGCAAUGGAGGCAAUCCAGCCGUAACGCCAAGUAAGGCCAGAGGCGCAAGUGGGACAACAAUGGCCCAUUUCCCGAUCCUUAAUCGGACCAUACUUUAAAACUUUUAACUCAACACCACACCUGAAACGUUAAUUUCACCGGGAUUGCUUCAUGCAGAGUUGUGACGCUGUCACGUUGACGAAGUCUGUCAGAUGGACAGACAUAAAAACUCCAGCAGCUGUAAAAACACCUUCCAAAGUACUCAAAAUGUAUUCCGUUCCUGCUGCGUAUCUCAAAGGUCAUGAUUUGACGCGAUGACACGCACACACACACACACAGUCCCACAAGGUGAAAACAAUCGCGGCCUCACGCUGCAGCGUCUGUAAAUGAUCAAACGUCCUAUCGUUUGGGUAAACCAUCUGACUGGCUAAUGGCUGCAGAAUGUAUUAGCAACGUUAUUUAUGAGUCUUUUUUCCAGAUGAGAAGCACUGAGGCGUUUUGUUAUGUGUGUUUUUCAUGUGCAUACAGUCAAGUGCUUGUCCAAAGUCAUUGGUAUAACCUUCCACUGGGUGUAAGGACAGGACAUUUCACAAAUAGAAAAACCCCCUGAAAUAUUGCCUAAGUGAUCACUGUGGUUGGAAUGCAACCGUUUGGUGCAUACAAUAGUGAUUUAUAAUAGUGGAAAUACAGUAAAUAAAUGAGUUGAAUUAAAAGAAAUACAUUACCUUAAAGUUCUUGGUAUCACUACUCUGUGAGUCCCAUGUUUCCCUCCGAACUAAUGGGCCUAUUUUGCCCUUGUGAGACCAUAUAAAAGUUGGCAAAUGUUUUGCGACACAUUUCAUAGUAGGACUAUGUUGCACAACCGUGUGCUGCCAUUCCAGUUGCAGAAUGAAUUCCUGUGGUGAGUCUUAUUGUUUCAACUUGAACUUGUUUUUGACUAAAUAAAUAGUUUUCUAGCGAGUAGUUCAGAUUCACUUGUUAGUCCAUUCCAAAGGCAGACACGAUGUAUUACAGAUAUUUACCAUUAAACACAGUUAACUACAUGUUUGACAAAGAUUCCCUUUCCCUUCUCACCGUGGGCCGACUGGAGCACAAAGAUCAGAGCCUGGCAGCUCAUGAAACCAAUAAUGAGUCCAACGCACAGCAGAAGCGGUUCCUACUGUACACCUGCCUCCUUCCCCUGCACUCCGUGACCUCGUGUACUCAUUAAUCCAAUGGACUGUCGGAUUAACCUUCUAAGACAGGUGAGAAAACAAAUGAGCGAUUAAUAGGGUCUCCCUGGAGAGCGCCAACACAGCCGCAGCCAGGGCGGUUCCGGCCAGUCAAGACCAGUGCAGCUGCAGCAUUAUGCAGAAGUGGAACCCGUGACAGUCAGGCGACAUCUCUACAUUUUCCCAUCACGCCCCCUGCGAUGUACAACGCUGAGACACCACGACCACAAACUUCCUCUAUCUGUGACAGCAACCAAGAAGAGCGGCCAAACAACCAGGGACCAAGGCCCAACCUUUGGGCGGCUCUGCUUCCUGUGAUGAAAAUACCGGUGAAAAAAAACAAAAUCUGUGAGAAGGUCCAGCGAGUUUCUCCUUUUCAGCUGAAUGACGACAUUGAAAGAAAACACUGAAGCAACCUUCAGCCACUUUGAUGACCUUUUGAAAUGGAUCGUGGGGCUAACGUUUUCCAUCUUAUAAUGGUGAACAAACCAAAAGUGAAAUACAAAAUGAAUAUCCUGCACAUGAACAUUGACAACAUCUUUGUAAACAGCUCAGUGGUCCCUCAAUCCAAACAGGCCAAGCAUUUCCCACAAUUUCCCGAGCUUACAGUAACUGGAAGUGUGUGUGUGUGAUGCUUGACAAUGUGUUGUAUGUCACAUGACUUCCCAGCAGACAAUUAAACUGAAACGAAAGAGAA